GAGCGCCCUGCUUGCAGGGAGCGGCAGACGGGUGAGUAACGCGUGGGAAUCUACCCAGCUCUACGGAAUAACACAGGGAAACUUGUGCUAAUACCGUAUACGUCCUCCGGGAGAAAGAUUUAUCGGAGUUGGAUGAGCCCGCGUUAGAUUAGCUAGUUGGUGGGGUAAUGGCCUACCAAGGCGACGAUCUAUAGCUGGUCUGAGAGGAUGAUCAGCCACACUGGGACUGAGACACGGCCCAGACUCCUACGGGAGGCAGCAGUGGGGAAUAUUGGACAAUGGGCGCAAGCCUGAUCCAGCCAUGCCGCGUGAGUGAUGAAGGCCUUAGGGUUGUAAAGCUCUUUCAACGGUGAAGAUAAUGACGGUAGCCGUAGAAGAAGCCCCGGCUAACUUCGUGCCAGCAGCCGCGGUAAUACGAAGGGGGCUAGCGUUGUUCGGAAUUACUGGGCGUAAAGCGCGCGUAGGCGGACUGAUCAGUUGGGGGUGAAAUCCCGGGGCUCAACCCCGGAACUGCCUUCAAUACUGUCAGUCUAGAGGUCGAGAGAGGUGAGUGGAAUUCCGAGUGUAGAGGUGAAAUUCGUAGAUAUUCGGAGGAACACCAGUGGCGAAGGCGGCUCACUGGCUCGAUACUGACGCUGAGGUGCG
rnacentral:rRNA from 1 species